UACGGAGGAUGCGAGCGUUAUCCGGAUUUAUUGGGUUUAAAGGGUGCGCAGGCGGCGUGUCAAGUCAGCGGUAAAGUGUCGGGGCUCAACCCCGGCCGGCCGUUGAAACUGGCGUGCUCGAGUUGGAGAGAAGUAUGCGGAAUUCGUGGUGUAGCGGUGAAAUGCAUAGAUAUCACGAAGAACCCCGAUUGCGAAGGCAGCAUACCGGCUCCACACUGACGCUGAGGCACGAAAGCGUGGGUAUCGAACAGG
rnacentral:rRNA from 1 species